GGGGGCCCGCAAGCGGUGGAGCAUGUGGUUUAAUUCGAUGCAACGCGAAGAACCUUACCUACUCUUGACAUCCAGAGAACUUAGCAGAGAUGCUUUGGUGCCUUCGGGAACUCUGAGACAGGUGCUGCAUGGCUGUCGUCAGCUCGUGUUGUGAAAUGUUGGGUUAAGUCCCGCAACGAGCGCAACCCUUAUCCUUUGUUGCCAGCGAUUCGGUCGGGAACUCAAAGGAGACUGCCGGUGAUAAACCGGAGGAAGGUGGGGAUGACGUCAAGUCAUCAUGGCCCUUACGAGUAGGGCUACACACGUGCUACAAUGGCGCAUACAAAGAGAAGCGACCUCGCGAGAGCAAGCGGACCUCACAAAGUGCGUCGUAGUCCGGAUCGGAGUCUGCAACUCGACUCCGUGAAGUCGGAAUCGCUAGUAAUCGUGGAUCAGAAUGCCACGGUGAAUACGUUCCCGGGCCUUGUACACACC
rnacentral:rRNA from 1 species